rnacentral:ncRNA from 2 species
CGGGUCACACACGGGAGUCCGGUGAGCCGGGCUGAGAGGAAGCGAUCCACGCUUCGACCGUCGAACCUGAUCUGGGUCAUGCCAGCGCAGGGAGGAGAGAUCGAUGAGCAU